UACGAAGGGGGCUAGCGUUGCUCGGAAUCACUGGGCGUAAAGGGUGCGUAGGCGGGUCUUUAAGUCAGGGGUGAAAUCCUGGAGCUCAACUCCAGAACUGCCUUUGAUACUGAGGAUCUUGAGUUCGGGAGGGGUGAGUGGAACUGCGAGUGUAGAGGUGAAAUUCGUAGAUAUUCGCAAGAACACCAGUGGCGAAGGCGGCUCACUGGUCCGGUACUGACGCUGAGGUGCGAAAGCGUGGGGAGCAAACAGG
rnacentral:rRNA from 1 species